rnacentral:rRNA from 1 species
ACGCUCGACACCUACUGGAGGCAGCAGUGGGGAAUAUUGCACAAUGGAGGAAACUCUGAUGCAGCGACGCCGCGUGAGCGAAGAAGUAUUUCGGUAUGUAAAGCUCUAUCAGCAGGGAAGAAAAAGGACGGUACCUGACUAAGAAGCUCCGGCUAAAUACGUGCCAGCACGCCGGACGGUAAUCUGAGGCGGGCGUGGACGAAGGC